CUACGGGGGGCAGCAGUGGGGAAUAUUGGACAAUGGGGGAGACCCUGAUCCAGCAAUGCCGCGUGUGUGAAGAAGGCCUGCGGGUUGUAAAGCACUUUCGGUUGGGAGGACUGCUUCUAGCACUAAUAUUGUUGGAAGUUGACGUUACCUUCAGAAGAAGCACCGGCUAACUCCGUGCCAGCAGCCGCGGUAAUAUGGAGGGUGCAAGCGUUAAUCGGAAUUACUGGGCGUAAAGCGCGCGUAGGCGGCUAGAUCAGUCGGGUGUGAAAGCCCCGGGCUUAACCUGGGAACUGCAUCCGAUACUGUCUAGCUUGAGUACAGGAGAGGAGAGUGGAAUUCCACAUGUAGCGGUGAAAUGCGUAGAUAUGUGGAGGAACACCAAUGGCGAAGGCAGCUCUCUGGCCUGAUACUGACGCUGAGGUGCGAAAGCGUGGGGAGCAAACAGGAUUAGAUACCCGAGUAGUC
rnacentral:rRNA from 1 species